GUUGAACGCUGGCGGCAGGCUUAACACAUGCAAGUCGAGCGGGGUGAUGGUGCUUGCACUAUCACUUAGCGGCGGACGGGUGAGUAAUGCUUAGGAAUCUGCCUAUUAGUGGGGGACAACAUCCCGAAAGGGAUGCUAAUACCGCAUACGUCCUACGGGAGAAAGCAGGGGAUCACUUGUGACCUUGCGCUAAUAGAUGAGCCUAAGUCGGAUUAGCUAGUUGGUGGGGUAAAGGCCUACCAAGGCGACGAUCUGUAGCGGGUCUGAGAGGAUGAUCCGCCACACUGGGACUGAGACACGGCCCAGACUCCUCCGGGAGGCAGCAGUGGGGAAUAUUGGACAAUGGGGGGAACCCUGCUCCAGCCAUGCCGCGUGUGUGAAGAAGGCCUUAUGGUUGUAAAGCACUUUAAGCGAGGAGGAGGCUCUUUUGGUUAAUACCCAAGAUGAGUGGACGUUACUCGCAGAAUAAGCACCGGCUAACUCUGUGCCAGCAGCCGCCGUAA
rnacentral:rRNA from 1 species